UUACUUACCUAGCAGGGGAGAUACUGUGAUCCCAAAGGUGGUUUUCCCAGAGUAAGGCUCACCUAUUGCACGCUGGGUGUGCUGGCCCUUGUGAUUUUCCCAAAUGCAAGAAACUUGACUACGUAAUUUGUGGUUAUGGGCUG
rnacentral:snRNA from 10 species